GAUGAACGCUAGCGGCAGGCCUAACACAUGCAAGUCGAGGGGUAGAAUUAGCUUGCUAAUUUGAGACCGGCGCACGGGUGCGUAACGCGUAUGCAAUCUGCCUUGUACUGAGGGAUAGCCCAGAGAAAUUUGGAUUAAUACCUCAUAGUGUUAUUGAAUGGCAUCAUUUAAUAACUAAAGUUCCAACGGUACAAGAUGAGCAUGCGUCCCAUUAGUUAGUUGGUAAGGUAACGGCUUACCAAGACGAUGAUGGGUAGGGGUCCUGAGAGGGCGAUCCCCCACACUGGUACUGAGACACGGACCAGACUCCUACGGGAGGCAGCAGUGAGGAAUAUUGGUCAAUGGGCGCAAGCCUGAACCAGCCAUGCCGCGUGCAGGAUGACGGUCCUAUGGAUUGUAAACUGCUUUUAUACGGGAAGAAACACUCCUACGUGUAGGAACUUGACGGUACCGUAAGAAUAAGGAUCGGCUAACUCCGUGCCAGCCGCCGCAGUAAUAC
rnacentral:rRNA from 1 species